AGAGUUUGAUCCUGGCUCAGGAUGAACGCUAGCGACAGGCUUAACACAUGCAAGUCGAGGGGCAGCGGGGCGGCAGGCUUGCCUGCCGUUGCCGGCGACCGGCGCACGGGUGAGUAACACGUAUGCAACCUGCCCGUGGCAGGGGGAUAAGCGGGGGAAACCCCGUCUAAUACCGCGUAACGCGGCCUAGGGACAUCCCAAGGCCGCCAAAGGGAGCAAUCCCGGCCACGGAUGGGCAUGCGGCGCAUUAGCUAGUCGGCGGGGUAACGGCCCACCGAGGCGACGAUGCGUAGGGGUUCUGAGAGGAAGGCCCCCCACACUGGUACUGAGACACGGACCAGACUCCUACGGGAGGCAGCAGUGAGGAAUAUUGGUCAAUGGGCGCGAGCCUGAACCAGCCAAGUUGCGUGAGGGAGGACGGCCCUACGGGUUGUAAACCUCUUUUGCCGGGGAGCAACGGGCGCCACGUGUGGCGC
rnacentral:rRNA from 1 species